UGCAUCUGCAGCCCAUGAGGAUGAGAACCUCCGGGGGCAGGGAGGUUCGACUCGAGCGAAGCGAGAGAACGUUGCGCCAGCAACGGCCCGCA
rnacentral:sRNA from 1 species